CAGCAUAUUUAAGUGAAGUUUGUCUCCUUCCAGUUGUUUGCAAGCUGCAGUGCUGGCAGAUACUGUUCAGCUCCUCUGUGCCUGGCAUCAGAAGCAUCACGUCGCAUGACUCGAGAUGCUCUCAGCUGUAAGAGACUGAGGUCUGUCUUGCAGCCGAUCAGCACGAGCGGGACGCCUCGGCAGAAGUGAUUCACUUCAGGAUACCACUGAUGGUAGAAAAACAAAACCUUUACAUCUUUUUUUUCUUCUAAAAUUUAAAACAAGCGAAGGAACAGAGUUAGCACUUGACACACUACAAUUUCAGCGUUUUGGAAGUUGUUAAUCUAGUGUAAGAGGCCUGACACGCUCUAUUUACAUUACAGAAUCAUUUAAAAGUCCUGACCAAAGUCACACUCUCCAUAAAGACAUAGAUGGCGUCUACCGCUAUGCCAAAGUGCUUAACAUCUGUUUAAACUCCGAAGUGCUUCCCUAAAGUCACACAUAAGAGCAGAGCUAGGACCGAGCCUUGCUUUGCUGAUGCUGUAUGCAGGAACGCGAACUUCUGCUUAGGAGCACUACAGAAGUCCUGUUACAGACAAGUAGUUGCUUACAUUUCUUUCCCCUCUAGUUAAAUGUGCAUGUGAUGGACGUAGACUUGAAUCUGAAAUGCUUACGUGCAGUGGUUGUGAGACAUCACUACAGAUGAAGUAGAUUUCACAGCUGGUUUGUGAUCUUUUUAGUGUCCAGUGGGCUUAAGCCCAGUUCUGAGCACUUGUGUGCCAUGGGGGGGUGAGGUUUAGGGCUAAGGUCUGUGACCUUCUCAGUGCAUGACGAAUGAUCUGUGCAUCUAUGCACCCCGGGUACAGGACUACUAAAAGCAGCAGCAUUUUAAUCUGACAUCUUGUCGUGCAUCAGGCAUAUGUAAUUCCUUUAAAAGGUUCAAGCAAUUAUGAAAGGCUCUUACCUUAACUGCUACAUUGUCAUAGCUGGUGGGGUUCAUGACAUCGUAACAAAUUAACACUACGUUUGUGUUCUGGUAAGAGAGUGGUCUUAGCCGAUCAUAGUCCUCCUGCCCUGAAACACAGAGAACGUUGUGGAUAAAAGAAAUCUCUGUCCUUAACAAGCAGUAUGAUGGGAAUGCGUAAAGAUAAAUACUUGAGAUCAAGGGUACUCUAAUGGCACAGGCUGAAAGUUUUCCAUACUUGUAAAAUUCCUUCCCUUAAACGCAGGAUAUUCCUCUUCACUAACCAAACUGAUCCUUUAGAGUAUAAAACACGUCCUUGGGAAAUUUUUAAUACAAACGUUGCUUUGUCCAACUACGAAGUAUUUAGAAGUAGUUCCUAAUCGCCAACUGCAGCUCUCAAACAAAAUCAGCAAGAGAAAUUAGACAGUUGUUAAAAUAUUUGCAAGUUGGUAGUGGCUCCAUUUUCCCAAAUAUAUUUGCACAUGCAGUACCGUGAUGAGAAGAAACACUGUGUUUGUUAGAAAUGAAAAUCGUAGCAGCAAACUUGUUUUUCCUAGCCCAGUGAGCUGCGAGGAAGCAGGGAUUAGCACGCUGUUCCUUUAGCACCCUUACUCACUAUAGCAGAACACAAACCAUUUUACAAGAAAUGCACCAACACACAGCAGGCUUAACUGUUCUUUGGAGCAGGGCAUUGCUGCAGGUCUUAGGGAUGCUGCUGAAUUCUGGAGAAACAGGAUUUUUCAUGCUUCUGAUGAGUGAUACUGCAGCAUGUGGCUGACAAGAGGAAGUUAAUUUGCUUCACACCUGUGUUCUUCCCCUUUGCUUGUGGUCACUACUGCUGUGCAUGUGACUCAGCUGUAAUCGCUGUGUUGGGGUCUGAAGGUGUCUUUUGAGAGACCACGCUCAAGAAAGUGGUAAUUACCAGGCGUAGCUCACAGCUUGAGGAAAAAAAAAAAAAAAAGCUUUUUCACUUGAGAUGUUUUUCAGAGACUUAAGGAAGAAAAAGCUACUGAAGCAGUCUGUAGAAGAUCUAUUUUCCACGUGAGCGCUGCCUCUAGAAUCAGGGACAUUUCUGUCAGGCACCAAAAUGAGAAGUGGGAAUGCCAGUCCUCUUCAUUGUCACCAUGCAGUAUGGACUGUGAGUUGUACACAGCCCAGACACUGCCCUACAGGAAAGCAACGCAUCUCAAAGCUUUGCACUGAUGUUUCAAAUAAAGGGAUGCUGAAAACUUCGGCGUACUCCACCUAGAUACCAACUGCACCUAGCUCGGUCCCAGUCACAUCCUCAUCCCUCUGGCCAACACGCUCAUCUCCAGCUAGUGCUGAGGGACUGCAGAUACCAGCAGCCCACCAGCUACACGACUUUGUCACCCUCUGCGUUAAUUUAAAUGAUGGAUCGAGAUACAGGUUAUCACAAGGUGAUCACAAUGCACUGGAUAAGCCAUGACUCAGAGUGCUUGAGAUGUUUGUAAAACAGGAGUCAUAGGUUUGGACUGUUCUCUGUUUGUGCUCUGUGGGUGAGGUGCUGAGCACAGAAGGAUUGAUCCCUCAAGGUUUAAUCCAGAAAUAAUAGACAAUCCACAAAAUUAUGCACGCUGUAUAAACAUGCAAAGACUUUACUGCUUAGCCCUUCUUACUCCCCUAAAUCCACCCUCUUGUUUGUACCCAAUUUGCCGUUCUGUUGUUGAGAUAAUCCUCUAACUGCAUUAAACGUAUCAGGUACCAAACGAUUUUUCUCCUAACUUCCUCUAGUGUUAUGUGCCCUGUAUGAUUUUCCCUGCUCACAUUCAUGCCUCUUUAGCCUCUGCAAGUGUACCUCAUGAAAUCCAGAGGUGUUUCAAGUUAGUGCUGACAACUUGUGAGACAGAACAGUCCCCUUGGAACAAAGUGUAUUGGCUUGCCUGGAGUCAGCGAACAACUGCUAAAACCGUGUUCUCCUGGACAGGAUAACAGAAGAGGUGCCUUCAAAGAUGGCAGACAAACAUGCUGUAUUUUAAGUCAAAGACCAUAGAAAUGGACCACCCUACACCUUCCUCUUCCAAACCAACCGUGCAGUUUUGUAAGCGAACAGAAAAAAAAUGCGUAAGAAAAUACGGCGCUGUAAAA